rnacentral:rRNA from 1 species
CUGGUGGUUAUGCAUGACACAUGCGAGUCGAACGGCAGCACAGAGGAGCUUGCUCCUUGGAAGGCGAGUGGCGGACGGGUGAGUAAUGCAUCGGGAUCUACCCUGACGUGGGGGAUAACCUCGGGAAACCGGGACUAAUACCGCAUACGUCCUACGGGAGAAAGCGGGGGACCUUUUAGGCCUCGCGCGGCAGGACGAACCGAUGUGCGAUUAGCUAGUUGGCGGGGUAAUGGCCCACCAAGGCGACGAUCGCUAGCUGGUCUGAGAGGAUGAUCAGCCACACUGGGACUGAGACACGGCCCAGACUCCUACGGGAGGCAGCAGUGGGGAAUAUUGGACAAUGGGCGCAAGUCUGAUCCAGCAAUGCCGCGUGUGUGAAGAAGGCCUUCGGGUUGUAAAGCACUUUUAUCAGGAGCGAAAUCUGCAUGCUUAAUACGUGUGCAGUCUGACGGUACCUGAGGAAUAAGCACCGGCUAACUUCGUGCCAGCAGCCGCGGUAAUACGAAGGGUGCAAGCGUUAAUCGGAAUUACUGGCCGUAAAGGGCGCGUAGGCGGUUCGUUAAGUCUGUCGUGAAAUCCCCGGCCUCAACCUGGAAAUGCCGAUGGAUACUGGCGAGCUAGAGUGUGUCAGAGGAUGCUGGAAUUCCCGGUGUAGCGGUGAAAUGCGUAGAGAUCGGGAGGAACAUCAGUGGAGAAGGCGGCCAUCUGGGACAACACUGACGCUGAAGCACGAAAGCGUGGGGAGCAAACAGGAUUAGAUACCCUGGAAGUCCACGCCCUAAACGAUGCGAACUGGAGGUUGGUCUCAACUCGGAGAUCAGUGUCGAAGCUAACGCGUUAAGUUCGCCGCCUGGGGAGUACGGUCGCAAGACUGAAACUCAAAGGAAUUGACGGGGGCCCGCACAAGCGGUGGAGUAUGGUGUUUAUUUCGAUGCAACGGGAAGAACCUUACCUGGCCUUGACAUGUCCGGGAUCCUGCAGAGAUGCUGGAGUGCUUUCGGGAAUCGGAACACAGGUGCUGCAUGGCUGUCGUCAGCUCGUGUCGGAAGAUGUUGGGAUAAGUCCUGCAUCGAGCGCAACUCUUGUACUUAGUUGCCAGCGAGUAAUGUCGGGAACUCUAAGGCGACUGCGGGUGACAAACCGGAGGUAGGUGGGGAUGACGUCAAGUCUUCAUGGACUUUACG